AUGGACGACAACACCAGCACGCUCAAGGCCCUCAUGGAGACAGUCCUCGCCCGCCUCGACGAGCAGAAGAUCGACAACGACAAGCGACUCGAAGUGCAGGCCGCCUUCAACGCGCAGGUUUCGCAAGAUCUGCUGGCGCUGUCUAAACAGGUGGAUCUCACCCAAGCCGACGUUGACGAGACGCGCAAGGCGCUCGAGAGGUCGCCGUCACCGCGCGGAUCGGGAUCGGCCACCGUCCUCAACCCGUCACCACCUCCACCCCCGCCGCCUCCUCUUCGUCCUCCACCGGCGCACCAACAACAACAGGGACCGCCGUCGUCUCCCCGCCUCGCAGAUCAGCGUCCGCCUCUGCUCCAAGUUCUGCUCCAGCAGCAGAACGAACCGCACCACCACCAACACCACGACAACUACAUCAAGCCACCCAAGCACGAGUUCCCGCGUUUCGAUGGCACUGCCCCGUACCUCUGGUUAGAUCGCUGCCGCACCUACUUCGACCUCUACCGCGUGCCGGCGUCCAGCUGGGUGACCAUGGCGACGUUGUACAUCGAGGGCCAGGCCGCUCACUGGCUGCAAGCAUUUUGUCAAACACAUGAUGGCCUGGGAUGGGAGGCGUUCUGCGCAGCAAUAAUCGAGGAGUUCAGCGCCAACGAGUUCAAGCUGGAGAUGCACAAGCUUCUUCAACUCCGACAGAGCGGCACCGUCAGCGAGUACCGCCAGGUGUUCGACAGCCACAUGUACCAUUUACUGGCGCUCAAUCCCUCGCUCUCCGCCAAGUUCUUCAUCACGCAGUUCCCGUUGGGACUCAAGGAUGAACUGCGUGCGGCCGUGCGUCUUCAAGCCCCCACAAGCAUCACGCGCGCGUCAAUCCUCACGCGCAUCCAGGAGGAGUUGAACGCGCCACGCGCGCGGCCACGACCACAACCGCAAGGCCGCCCUCCUCCAGCGCGCCCGGGCGCCGCGCCACGACAACAGCCCGACGACUACGAGCGCGAGCGCCAACUCAAGGAAUUUCGCCGCGCCAAUGGGCUCUGCUUCAAGUGCGGCGAUCGGUACAGCCGGGAGCACCGCUGCAAUCCGCAGGCCCAGCUACUCACAAUUCAAGUCGGCGCGUACGGGGAAGUGCUCACCGACGACGCCGUGCACGCGCUUGACUUACUCAACGCCCCAGACCCGGCAAUUCCUCCACCGGAGUGCUGCACCAUCUCCGCGCACGCACUGGACGGCUCCGAGGCGCCAAGUACCAUCCGCCUCCGAGCACUUGUGGACAACCAGGUCAUGUUGUUGAUGUUGGACUCCGGAAGCACCCACAACUUCGUCAACAAAUCCUUCAUGGAACGCGUCGGCGCUACCACGCAGGAGAUCGCAACGCUGGACAUGCAGGUGGCAAACGGCGAUUGCCUCACCUGUUCGUGGCAAGUUCCAGAGCUGAAGUGGUGGAUGCAAGGGCACACGUUCUCCACGCCCAUGUACAAGCUCGACACCGGCGCGUACGACGGCAUCCUCGGCAUGGACUGGCUCGCCAAGCACAGCCCGAUGACGUGCCACUGGCAGGACCAGUGCAUCUCCUUUGUCCAUGACGGCGAGAGGGUCACGUUGCAAGGUGUUUGA
rnacentral:rRNA from 1 species